CUGCACCCACACUGGCCCUUUUCAGAUACGAUUGGACACCCCUUCACUACAACAACCAAGGAAGGGCGCAAGGGAGUAAAGCAAACGUCUGCCGUCACGGUGACGGGAGUGCCGCAAAGAUGGCAGCCGUCUGUGGCGGGGACGAGUGCGGAGGACGUGAGUGACUGCGAACGGGCCAUCUCCCUGAUUCCGAAGGAAAUAAUGAUGUUCCGGCGAGACGUCGUCCGAUCCACGUCACGGCGAGAGAAUCCGAGCGCGGGGAGGCCUUUUUAGUCGACCAGAUGGGAAAGUCAUAAUAACCCUGGCGUCAGUACGGCUCACCGUCACGCGGUUUGAAGCUGCUGGUUAAAGCACGACAAGGAUUAAUGGGUUUCGGCCCGGGCAAGCGGCAUAUCAUUCUCUGUCACUUCCCAUGACGAUCAUCGCUGGAUUGUCACAGGCUAUCCCGUCUCAUGUCGAGGGUGCAGCUUCUGCAGAGUAGACCUCAC